rnacentral:rRNA from 1 species
AUUGAACGCUGGCGGCAUGCCUUACACAUGCAAGUCGAACGGUAACAGGUCUUCGGAUGCUGACGAGUGGCGAACGGGUGAGUAAUACAUCGGAACGUGCCUAGUAGUGGGGGAUAACUACUCGAAAGAGUGGCUAAUACCGCAUGAGAUCUACGGAUGAAAGCAGGGGAUCGCAAGAACUUGUGCCACUAGAGCGGCCGAUGGCAGAUUAGGUAGUUGGUGGGAUAAAAGCUUACCAAGCCGAGGAUCUGUAGCUGGUCUGAGAGGACGAUCGGCCACACUGGGACUGAGACACGGCCCAGACUCCUACGGGAGGAAGAAGUGGGGAAUUUUGGACAAUGGGCGCAAGCCUGAUCCAGCAAUGCCGCGUGCAGGAUGAAGGCCUUCGGGUUGUAAACUUCUUUUGUACGGAAAGAAAAGCCCUGGGUUAAUACCCUGGGGUCAUGACGGUACCGUAAGAAUAAGCACCGGCUAACUACGUGCCAGCCGCCGCCGUAAAAC